rnacentral:lncRNA from 1 species
ACUAUAUAUUUCUUAUAUAGCAUAUAUUCAUAUUAUGUAUAUAUGCAGGAUUUAUAUUUUAUGGUUUUAGAAGUAUGUGUGUUUUGUAUAUAAUAUAGACUCUAUAGUUGUAAAAUAAUAUCUAGAAACCACUGUUCCACAGAAGUACCAAACUCACACAUGGCCAAGGAUCUUGACUACAGCAGGGUGUAAUAGCACUGGGUUGCUUUCCUAGUACUUUGGAGGUAAAGUACCUCACCUUUGAGGGCAAUCUGGGAUACACAAGACCCUCAUUUCAGAAUAAAAAAAAACAGGAAAGAGGACAGCAAAAGGAGGGGGUUGGCUUCUCUGCAGCAAUGUGGCAUCUAGAUCUUGGGUCUUCUGGCCAAGGUAUGGAAUGUUCUGUUUCAGGUUCUUCUUCAAGAUUCAUGCCGAUGUUCUCGCCAUGGUAAGACCACAGACAGAGUACUGUUUCUCAGGCUUCCCAGACAAACACCCAUGGAGUCCAGGCCAGGAAUGUUUUCUGCAAUCUUGUCUAUCACUUGGACAGCAAACUUCUAGAAUUCAGUUUCCUUACCAAAUUGUUUUCCUUGCCUUGAAUCUGAGCAUCCAGUUCAGUGACCAGUAUGUACCAGGAUAGCUAUUAACUAUUUUAACUAUCUGUUUGUAACCAAAAUAAUUUGUAAACUUAAAUGAAGACAUAAGUGUAUUGCACAGACAUCUCUGGCUUUCAGAUUCUAAAGGGUAAAUAUCUGGUAAGUGACACCUGAAAAUUGACUAUGAGCUACUUAAUAAAUGAAUGAAAAUUUCCCAAGGUAUGUUGAUACUUAUGGAAUUCAGUGGCCUCAUUCUUAGAAACAGGGUGUAUUGGAUGACCCAUCAUUGAAAACUGAAGUAUG